rnacentral:rRNA from 1 species
GCGGCGUGCCUAAUACAUGCAAGUCGAACGCUUCUUUUCCCACCGGAGCUUGCUCCACCGGGAAAAGAGGAGUGGCGAACGGGUGAGUAACACGUGGGUAACCUGCCCAUCAGAAGGGGAUAACACUUGGAAACAGGUGCUAAUACCGUAUAACAAUCGAAACCGCAUGGUUUCGUUUUGAAAGGCGCUUUACGGUGCCGCUGAUGGAUGGACCCGCGGUGCAUUAGCUAGUUGGUGAGGUAACGGCUCACCAAGGCCACGAUGCAUAGCCGACCUGAGAGGGUGAUCGGCCACAUUGGGACUGAGACACGGCCCAAACUCCUACGGGAGGCAGCAGUAGGGAAUCUUCGGCAAUGGACGAAAGUCUGACCGAGCAACGCCGCGUGAGUGAAGAAGGUUUUCGGAUCGUAAAACUCUGUUGUUAGAGAAGAACAAGGGUGAGAGUAACUGUUCACCCCUUGACGGUAUCUAACCAGAAAGCCACGGCUAACUACGUGCCAGCAGCCGCGGUAAUACGUAGGUGGCAAGCGUUGUCCGGAUUUAUUGGGCGUAAAGCGAGCGCAGGCGGUUUCUUAAGUCUGAUGUGAAAGCCCCCGGCUCAACCGGGGAGGGUCAUUGGAAACUGGGAGACUUGAGUGCAGAAGAGGAGAGUGGAAUUCCAUGUGUAGCGGUGAAAUGCGUAGAUAUAUGGAGGAACACCAGUGGCGAAGGCGGCUCUCUGGUCUGUAACUGACGCUGAGGCUCGAAAGCGUGGGGAGCAAACAGGAUUAGAUACCCUGGUAGUCCACGCCGUAAACGAUGAGUGCUAAGUGUUGGAGGGUUUCCGCCCUUCAGUGCUGCAGCUAACGCAUUAAGCACUCCGCCUGGGGAGUACGACCGCAAGGUUGAAACUCAAAGGAAUUGACGGGGGCCCGCACAAGCGGUGGAGCAUGUGGUUUAAUUCGAAGCAACGCGAAGAACCUUACCAGGUCUUGACAUCCUUUGACCACUCUAGAGAUAGAGCUUCCCCUUCGGGGGCAAAGUGACAGGUGGUGCAUGGUUGUCGUCAGCUCGUGUCGUGAGAUGUUGGGUUAAGUCCCGCAACGAGCGCAACCCUUAUUGUUAGUUGCCAUCAUUUAGUUGGGCACUCUAGCAAGACUGCCGGUGACAAACCGGAGGAAGGUGGGGAUGACGUCAAAUCAUCAUGCCCCUUAUGACCUGGGCUACACACGUGCUACAAUGGGAAGUACAACGAGUCGCGAAGUCGCGAGGCUAAGCUAAUCUCUUAAAGCUUCUCUCAGUUCGGAUUGUAGGCUGCAACUCGCCUACAUGAAGCCGGAAUCGCUAGUAAUCGCGGAUCAGCACGCCGCGGUGAAUACGUUCCCGGGCCUUGUACACACCGCCCGUCACACCACGAGAGUUUGUAACACCCGAAGUCGGUGAGGUAACCUUUUUGGAGCCAGCCGCCUAAGGUGG